UACGGAGGAUGCGAGCGUUAUUCGGAUUUAUUGGGUUUAAAGGGUGCGCAGGCGGGUCUUUAAGGCAGCGGUGAAAUUUCGACGCUCAACGUCGAACCUGCCGUUGAAACUGGAGACCUUGAGUAUGGAUGAAGUAGGCGGAAUUCGUUGUGUAGCGGUGAAAUGCAUAGAUAUAACGAGGAACCCCGAUUGCGUAGGCAGCUUACUAAGCCAUAACUGACGCUCAUGCACGAAAGCGUGGGUAUCAAACAGGAUUAGAUACCCUGGUAGUCCACGCCGUAAACUAUGAUUACUAGUUGUUUGCGAUAUGACCGUAAGUGACUAAGCGAAAGCGAUAAGUAAUCCACCUGGGGAGUACGCCGGCAACGGUGAA
rnacentral:rRNA from 1 species